UUGCAGGAAUAAUCAUAGUGUCUGCAAGUGGAGAGUUGGAGAUAGAAGCGUCCUGCUUAAGAACAAAUCUCUUACUUUAUUUUCAUAUAUUAAUAGUAGCUAUUUCACAGGCCUAGGAGAAAAGGAAAAAUGUCAAAAAUAAAAUGAGAAAAGGGACAUAAACAUAAGGUCUAGCAUUAGGUCAUAAUAUAUUUCACUAUAGAAUCUAAUGAUCA
rnacentral:lncRNA from 1 species